CGGACGGGUGAGUAAUGUCUGGGAAACUGCCCGAUGGAGGGGGAUAACUACUGGAAACGGUAGCUAAUACCGCAUAACGUCGCAAGACCAAAGAGGGGGACCUUCGGGCCUCUUGCCAUCGGAUGUGCCCAGAUGGGAUUAGCUAGUAGGUGGGGUAAUGGCUCACCUAGGCGACGAUCCCUAGCUGGUCUGAGAGGAUGAUCAGCCACACUGGGACUGAGACACGGCCCAG
rnacentral:rRNA from 1 species